rnacentral:rRNA from 1 species
GGUUGACCUCGGAUCAGGUAGGGAUACCCGCUGAACUUAAGCAUAUCAAUAAGCGGAGGAAAAGAAACCAACAGGGAUUGCCUCAGUAACGGCGAGUGAAGCGGCAACAGCUCAAAUUUGAAAUCUGGUCUUACGGCCCGAGUUGUAAUUUGCAGAGGGUGUCUCGGGUGAGCUACCGGCCUAAGUUCCUGGAACAGGGCGUCAUAGAGGGUGAGAAUCCCGUAUGCGGCCGGCCUGCGAUCCCAUGUGAGACCCCUUCGACGAGUCGAGUUGUUUGGGAAUGCAGCUCAAAAUGGGUGGUAAAUUUCAUCUAAAGCUAAAUACCGGCCAGAGACCGAUAGCGCACAAGUAGAGUGAUCGAAAGAUGAAAAGCACUUUGAAAAGAGAGUUAAAAAGUAUGUGAAAUUGUUGAAAGGGAAGCGCUUGCAACCAGACUCGUCCGCGGGUGCUCAGCCGUCCUUCGGGGCGGUGCAUUCUCCCGCGGCCGGGCCAGCAUCGGUUCCAGCGGCCGGAUAAAGGCUCCAGGAAUGUGGCACUCUUCGGGGUGUGUUAUAGCCUGGGGUACAAUGCGGCCAGCCAGGACCGAGGACCGCGCUUUUGCUAGGAUGCUGGCGUAAUGGUUGCCAGCGACCCGUCUUGAAACACGGACCAAGGAGUCGACCAACUGUGCGAGUGUUUGGGUGUAAAACCCAUGCGCGUAAUGAAAGUGAACGGAGGUGGGAGCCCUUUGGGUGCACCAUCGACCGAUCCUGAUGUCUUCGGAUGGAUUUGAGUAUGAGCAUAGCUGGUCGGACCCGAAAGAUGGUGAACUAUGCGUGAAUAGGGUGAAGCCAGAGGAAACUCUGGUGGAGGCUCGCAGCGGUUCUGACGUGCAAAUCGAUCGUCAAAUUUGCGCAUAGGGGCGAAAGACUAAUCGAACCAUCGGUGAUACCGAGACUACUAGGUGGUUAAGUGGGAGUCCUUCGGGGCUUUUCAGUCGGCCGGCUUUUCUUUCGAAGGGCCGGCGGGCGACAUCGCUAAUUAUCAUGGACCUGCUCGCCGGGGGACGACCCCCGGGGAUCAGGAAUAUGCAGCGGCUUCACUCGCCGUACACAGACCAAAUAGCGGUGGCUCUCCGGGCAGCCCGGGGGGUUAAGAAAUGGCCGAGUCCGCGCUCU